UACCUAUAAAGAACCCUAAUAAAACUUGUCUAGAUUUAUGUGCCUAAAUCUAUGGUUCAUGUCUAGGACUAAAACACAAAAAAAACCUAAGGUUUUGAUGAAUACAAUUGGCUCGUAUGUGAUGGGUGAGAUGGAGCAUAAAAUACACUCACUACCAAAUACAUGUUUGGGAUGAAAGCGUGAGAUGGAGCCUAAAAUGCUCUCACAAUACUUGAAAUUGAUACGAACUAAG
rnacentral:lncRNA from 1 species